ensembl:lncRNA
UGUGUGUGUGUGUGUGUGUGUGUGUGUGUGUGUGUGUGUGUGUGUGUAUAAAAGAGUGCUGGUGUGUGAGGCGAGCGUUCUACAGUUGAUAGCUUGACAGGGAGGAUGUACCGCUCCCGUGUGUCUCCGUAUGGCCAGGGCAGUAUGGAGAGACAUCAUCACCAUGUGGUCCUACACGGUGUUUGUAUCGCUCUGGCCAUGUUUAGCCAGGUGGCUUCCGAGACCUUCCAUGUUCUAGCAUCAGGGACCAACUCUGGCGGUCUGUUUAUGACCACAUUGGAUAAUGUCUCUGAGUCCUUUCCUCUGGAGGUGACCAUGGACUGCUGGGCAGACAACACCUGGAUCAUGCUUCGGCUAUGGAGCAGUGCUUGGCUCAUACACUCUCUUUUUACUGUGUUCCAGAGGAACGUGUUUGGUCCAGUCUCCUGCAACCCUGAGAUUCACCCUCCAUCAUUCUAUCUGAUCUGGACUAUGAUCAACGUGGCAAAGAUCACCUGGCUGUUUCUUUGGGACAGGCAUGACCUUCUACCAUCCCUGUUUUUUAAAUGGGUUAUGCCAAUUCACAGCUUCCAAAUGCUGUAUGUGUCCUACCGAAACCUGCACAAUCACAGAACCUGGCUGGCCAUCAAUAACCCUAAAGAACCCUGGUGGACCCGCUAUCUGACCCAGAACGGACUGGCUGUAUUUGGCUGGUGGACUCUCCUGGAGGCCCUGGUCAGUCUGGGAGUUGUGCUGCGGUACCAGGCUGGGCUACCUGAUCCUCUGGUCAGCUCAAUGGUGCUCACUCUACUUCUCCUAGGGAUGCUGAUCUGGUUUGUCUUUGAGAGCUUCAUAUUCUCCAAGUACAUCCGCUACACAUUUACUGUCUUCCCUGUGUUGGUUGUGGGCCUGGGAGCCAUGUUCACCAGAAGCUAUCGUGUCCAUGACCUUGCUCCUAACACAGUCUACUGUGGCUUCCUUAUGCUUGCGGCAACUGUCCUGAACUGUAUCCGUUUGAUCGCUGCAUGCUUUUACCCAGAUGACACCUCCAGCUAUUUGACCAAGGAGCCCAACCGUAAACCUGACUUCUGCAAGACUGUAUUUCAACCGAUGGGGAAGGACAGCACAAUGGCUUCACAAACUGGGUUUGUGAAUCCUGUCUUCUGUAAUAACUUAGACAAUUAACAGAGGGUACGGUGUCCAUAUUAGGACAGAAACGACUCCUGUUGAGGAUUUACCCAAAGUGAAUUGUUUUGCAUGUAAAUAAUUUUGAUACUGAUUAAUGGUAUUUUCUGUAAGAAUGGACAUUGUUCUCUUGGUGAUGGAUAGCUACAGCUUGAGUUAACUCUAAGCUUAGAGUGUUGACAUGCCUUCACAUUCAUCACAAACAAAUAGAUUCCAAACAGUGGCUUAACAAUUCAGAAUGUUGAAUAAACUUUAUUUGAUCUCACUUUACCGGUU